rnacentral:rRNA from 1 species
UACGGGGGGGGCAAGCGUUGUUCGGAAUUACUGGGCGUAAAGUGUGCGCAGGCGGUGAUGUAAGACCGAUGUGAAAUCCCCGGGCUUAACCUGGGAACUGCAUUGGUGACUGCAUUGCUGGAGUAUGGCAGAGGGGGGUGGAAUUCCACGUGUAGCAGUGAAAUGCGUAGAGAUGUGGAGGAACACCGAUGGCGAAGGCAGCCCCCUGGGCCAAUACUGACGCUCAUGCACGAAAGCGUGGGGAGCAAACAGG